CUAGUGCUGGAUUUUACUACAAGAAGAGGCCCGACACCAGCCCCACUGGUUUCAGAAGCAGGGUCUCUGGCUGUGGUCCCAGUUGACUGAACCAUCUAUGCCUGCAUGCUGCCGUGUCUUGCCAUGAUGAUGAUAGACAGAACUUCUGAACUACGCAUUAAAGCUUGUCUGCAGAAGGAUCCGAGUGUCCUGCGUAUGAUUUCUUGCUGGCGAGGAAUACAGAGCGGGCGCGGGACAUAUGGUGCCGAAACCCGGGAACAUGUGAACAUCUCCAGCACCACGGAGACCCCUCUAACGAGGCGGAUUCAG
rnacentral:lncRNA from 1 species